CGAUGUCGAAUUGGAAGGUUGUGCCCCUUGAGGGAGUGGCUUUCCGGAGCUAACGCGUUAAGUCGACCGCGUGGGGAGUACGGCCGCAAGGUUAAAAUUGAAGAGUUUGAUCAUGGCUCAGAUUGAACGCUGGCGGCAGGCCUAACACAUGCAAGUCGAACGGUAGCACAGAGAGCUUGCUCUCGGGUGACGAGUGGCGGACGGGUGAGUAAUGUCUGGGAAACUGCCUGAUGGAGGGGGAUAACUACUGGAAACGGUAGCUAAUACCGCAUAAUGUCGCAAGACCAAAGAGGGGGACCUUCGGGCCUCUUGCCAUCAGAUGUGCCCAGAUGGGAUUAGCUAGUAGGUGGGGUAACGGCUCACCUAGGCGACGAUCCCUAGCUGGUCUGAGAGGAUGACCAGCCACACUGGAACUGAGACACGGUCCAGACUCCUACGGGAGGCAGCAGUGGGGAAUAUUGCACAAUGGGCGCAAGCCUGAUGCAGCCAUGCCGCGUGUAUGAAGAAGGCCUUCGGGUUGUAAAGUACUUUCAGCGGGGAGGAAGGUGUUGUGGUUAAUAACCGCAGCAAUUGACGUUACCCGCAGAAGAAGCACCGGCUAACUCCGUGCCAGCAGCCGCGGUAAUACGGAGGGUGCAAGCGUUAAUCGGAAUU
rnacentral:rRNA from 1 species